rfam:Candidatus Levybacteria bacterium RIFCSPLOWO2_02_FTLL_37_18 rifcsplowo2_02_scaffold_4060, whole genome shotgun sequence.
AUGCUAAACUGCAUGUAACCUAAGACAGUAGGUGGUGAGCACAGUCGAACCAUAAAUCCUACCGAGGAUCGGACAUGUUUAGUAUUUGGUAUCAAGUAUUAAGUAUUAUGUAUACCUCGGAAGAAUUCGAGGUUUUUUUGUUUUUAAU